rnacentral:tRNA from 1 species
GUGCCUAUAGUGUAACGGUUUGCACGGCUCCCUGUGGAGGAGUAAGCCUGAGUUCAACUCUCAGUAGGCACCCA